UGGGGAAUUUUGGACAAUGGGCGCAAGCCUGAUCCAGCAAUGCCGCGUGCAGGAUGAAGGCCUUCGGGUUGUAAACUGCUUUUGUACGGAGCGAAAAGGUCUGCCCUAAUACGGUGGGCUCAUGACGGUACCGUAAGAAUAAGCACCGGCUAACUACGUGCCAACAGCCGCGGUAAUACGUAGGGUGCGAGCGUUAAUCGGAAUUACUGGGCGUAAAGCGUGCGCAGGCGGUUAUAUAAGACAGAGGUGAAAUCCCCGGGCUCAACCUGGGAACUGCCUUUGUGACUGCAUAGCUAGAGUACGGUAGAGGGGGAUGGAAUUCCGCGUGUAGCAGUGAAAUGCGUAGAUAUGCGGAGGAACACCGAUGGCGGAGGCAAUCCCCUGGACCUGUACUGACGCUCAUGCACGAAAGCGUGGGGAGCAAACA
rnacentral:rRNA from 1 species